CGAGGAGCUGGUGCUCCAUUGUUUGUGAUUUUUAUUUAAGUAAGCAAAACUUAACUUGUGGGGGUGUUUGGUUUUUGAUUUAUACCAUGUCCGAUAAGGGUGCAAAUCGGUGCUUCUAGAUGGCUUGUUAUACCAAAAAACUGCAUCACAUUCAACUAUUUCUGAACAAUGUCACCCAUGUGUUCAUGGUUUUCACAGCAAUACAACUUCCAUGCCAGGAUUAGCAUAACAUAUGUGAUCCUUUUUGUUUUGCUUUUGAAAUCUUAGGACUACAGGGCAAAAAAAAGUUUAAAAUAG